CCCGCCAUCUGGUCUAACAAGCACUCCAGGUGAUUCUGAUGAAGACUAAGGUUUGCUUACCACUGAUUUCUGCAGUGGACUUGCUGGUUUACGCCCUGGGUCUCUCGCCAUAGUAGAAAAGAGAAUUGGAGAGAUAUGGCUGGACAGAGAGAGAGCAGCAAUGGCAAAGAAGGCACUCUUAAUGGUAAGCUGUUUUGUUCAGCCACGGAGUGUGUUUUCUGCUGCAGCAACGUGUUUUAUCGAUGGAUUUCAAACAUGCAGAUGCUACAUUGGUCUCAAGCAAUUUCAAGGUGGAAUUUCUCUCUCCCCUUCCAUCUCAGGCCUCCAGUCAAGGAAUAGAAUGUGGGUUAAAUGCAGCAGAGUUUAUUCUUAUUUUUGAAGACGGUUUAGAAAUAGAAGGCACAUAAAUUUUGGGCCUGUCAUGACCAGACAACGAUAAAGCUCAUUAUCCACAAUAUUUCAUUUAAUCUUCUGGACAGUCCUAUCAGAAGACAUUACAGGUCAUGGGAAAUAUAUAUAAUUUGAAGUUUGGUAAAAUUCAGUGAAGAAAUUAUUCAAGGUUGAGAUGCCUAUUUUAAUUUUUAUGAGCAUGGCUUGCCAAGCGGUGCCAUGUCCACACCCGGGAUCCGAACUGGCGAACCCCAGGCCACUGAAGUGGAAGGUGUGCACUUAACCGCUGCAUCACCAGGCCGGCCCCAGAAGAUUAGCCCUAAGCUAACUACUGCCAGUCCUCCUCUUUUUGCUGAGGAAGCCUGGCUCUGAGCGAACAUCCGUGCCCAUCUUCCUCUAGUUUAUACGUGGGACGCCUACCACAGCAUGGCUGCCAAGCAGUGCCAUGUCCGCACCCAGGAUCCGAACCAGCGAACCCCGGGCCGCCGAGAAGGGGAACGUGCGAACUUAACCGCUGCGCCACUGGGCCGGCCCCAAGCUAAUGCUAUUUUUAAAUUUGAAUGUCAACAAUACAUUAUUAAAUACACUGGAAACACUUAAACCAGAGCAAAAGGCACCACGGAACCAGCAAGGAAAAUUCCUGUACAUGCUUACAGUGUCAUCAAGAAUGAUGCGUAUGCCUUCAACUCAAUAAUAUUUAUGAGAAAAAUCUCAACAUUUCAUUGAGCUAUGUUUUGGGCUGUGAGAGAAAAAUAACUAGAGGCCCACAACCAUUACGUCAAGUCUUACUAAAAGACUUUAGCUCUGGUUUCUACGCUUCCAUAACAUUUUUUUAUUUAACAAUAAUAUUUUUCACCUCCCUUCAAUAUUUCAUGUUCAUUGAUUAUUCUUUCAUCACGACCGCUUGAUCUAGCUUCAUAGAUUUAAUGUUUUCUUGAAUUUGUUUUGUUUCUUACAGUAAAUCUCUUUGAGAUAAAAGUAUUUGUUUUAAUUUUUCAAGGGAGCUUUUGAAUUACAAUACAUUUCCUUGGGUCUAUUGAUUUUCCUCUAAUUAUGUAUCUUUACAAAGAAAUGUCUAGGCAUGCCAAAUAUUCUUUUAUUAUCAAUAAAGUCCAUUUAAGAUGGAUCUCUUGGAAAAUAGACUGGGUCUCUGCCAAAUUCUAAAGCAAGGGAAAAUGGAAAAAAUUACAUUUACUAGAAAUUUCUCCUUCAAUUCAGAUGUCCAGUUUAUUGGCAGAAGUUUAGAGAGGGUCAGAAACAAGAGUAUGCCCAGCAGGGAGUUUCACAUGUAUACGAAAACCUCUUCUCUGUUUUUGCCAUGGAUUCUUAUGUCAGGAAGCAACAUCCAACUCUCAGGCCAGCCCUGCUGCUACUUUCACAGAGAUCGUUGUUUAGCACAGGAGCUUUUGCCAGGAAUAAUUCCUGGGUGAGCCAAGUGAAACAGGUGGAUUCUAUAUUGUGUUGAUUUGGCCAUAUUGUUGAGAGGAAGUCCAGGUGAUAUGCUCUGACUGCCCCACAGCAUGCUUUCCUCUGCAGAUGUGGGCUACCUGAAAUAGGUGGCAUCAAUUUCCUUUCUAGAUGUGCUGCUCUUUUAUUAGAUG
ensembl:lncRNA